CAAGCAGACCGCCUUAUCGCUCGUGCAAACGAGAGGAAAGUCCGGACACCAUAGGGAAACAUAGCGGCUAACAGCCGUCAAUACUUUAGGUUUCUAGAGUAUUAGGACCAGUGCAACAGAAAGAAUGUACAGAUCAUGCUGUAGUGAAAUCAGGUAAACUCUAUGUGGUGCAAUGUCAUGUAUACCGGCAAUGAAGUGCGUCCCGUGCGAUGCCGGAGGGUAGACAGAUUGAGCAAACAAGUAAUUGUUUGUCUAGAUAAAUGAUAAGGGAUUACAUUUUUGUAAUUACAGAACCCGGCUUAUAGGUCUGCUUUUUUA
rnacentral:RNase_P_RNA from 1 species